GAAGGCAGAUCUCUGGGCCGUAACUGACGCUGAGGAGCGAAAGGGUGGGGAGCAAACAGGCUUAGAUACCCUGGUAGUCCACCCCGUAAACGUUGGGAACUAGUUGUGGGGUCCUUUCCACGGAUUCCGUGACGCAGCUAACGCAUUAAGUUCCCCGCCUGGGGAGUACGGCCGCAAGGCUAAAACUCAAAGGAAUUGACGGGGACCCGCACAAGCGGCGGAGCAUGCGGAUUAAUUCGAUGCAACGCGAAGAACCUUACCAAGGCUUGACAUACACCGGAACGCCGUAGAAAUACGGUUCUCUUUGGACACUGGUGUACAGGUGGUGCAUGGUUGUCGUCAGCUCGUGUCGUGAGAUGUUGGGUUAAGUCCCGCAACGAGCGCAACCCUCGUUCUAUGUUGCCAGCACGUUAUGGUGGGAACUCAUGGGAUACUGCCGGGGUCAACUCGGAGGAAGGUGGGGAUGACGUCAAAUCAUCAUGCCCCUUAUGUCUUGGGCUUCACGCAUGCUACAAUGGCCGGUACAAUGGGCGGCGAUACCGUAAGGUGGAGCGAAUCCCAAAAAGCCGGUCCCAGUUCGGAUUGAGGUCUGCAACUCGACCUCAUGAAGUCGGAGUCGCUAGUAAUCGCAGAUCAGCAACGCUGCGGUGAAUACGUUCCCGGGUCUUGUACACACCGCCCGUCAAGUCAUGAAAGUCGGUAACACCUGAAGCCG
rnacentral:rRNA from 1 species